AUUGAACGCUGGCGGCAUGCCUUACACAUGCAAGUCGAACGGUAACGCGGGGCAACCUGGCGACGAGUGGCGAACGGGUGAGUAAUAUAUCGGAACGUGCCCAAUAGUGGGGGAUAGCCCGGCGAAAGCCGGAUUAAUACCGCAUACGACCUGAGGGUGAAAGCGGGGGAUCGCAAGACCUCGCGCUAUUGGAGCGGCCGAUAUCAGAUUAGGUAGUUGGUGGGGUAAAGGCCUACCAAGCCUACGAUCUGUAGCUGGUCUGAGAGGACGACCAGCCACACUGGGACUGAGACACGGCCCAGACUCCUACGGGAGGCAGCAGUGGGGAAUUUUGGACAAUGGGCGCAAGCCUGAUCCAGCCAUGCCGCGUGCGGG
rnacentral:rRNA from 1 species